ensembl:snoRNA
GGUGGCACAAUGAUGACCUAAAGUUUUGCCGUUUACCCAGUUGAGGACUUCUUUGAAGAAGUAAUCUUAAGACUGAGGUGCCAGU